ensembl:snRNA U6 U6 spliceosomal RNA
GUGCUCGCUUCGGCAGCACAUAUACUAAAAUUGAAACGAUUAGCAUGGCCCCUGCACACAAAUGACCUGCAGGUUAGUUCGUGAAGCAUUCCAUAUUUUG